GAUGAACGCUAGCGGCAGGCUUAACACAUGCAAGUCGAGGGGUAUAGUUCUUCGGAACUAGAGACCGGCGCACGGGUGCGUAACGCGUAUGCAAUCUACCUUUUGCAGAGGGAUAGCCCCAGAGAAAUUUGGAUUAAUACCUCAUAGUAUAGCAGUUUCGCAUGAAACCACUAUUAAAGUCACAACGGCAAAAGAUGAGCAUGCGUCCCAUUAGCUAGUUGGUAAGGUAACGGCUUACCAAGGCUACGAUGGGUAGGGGUCCUGAGAGGGAGAUCCCCCACACUGGUACUGAGACACGGACCAGACUCCUACGGGAGGCAGCAGUGAGGAAUAUUGGACAAUGGGCGCAAGCCUGAUCCAGCCAUGCCGCGUGCAGGAUGACGGUCCUAUGGAUUGUAAACUGCUUUUGUACAGGAAGAAACACUCCCUCGUGAGGGAGCUUGACGGUACUGUAAGAAUAAAGGAUCGGCUAACUCCGUGCCAGCAG
rnacentral:rRNA from 1 species